rnacentral:rRNA from 1 species
CACGCCGUAAACGAUGAUAACUGGAUUUAGGGAGUAUCGACCCUCUCUGAGUCGAAGCUAACGCGUUAAGUUAUCCGCCUGGGUAGUACGAUCGCAAGACUAAAACUCAAAGGAAUAGACGGGGGCUUGCACAAGUGGUGGAGCGUGUGGCUUAAUUCGUCGCUAAGCGAAGAACCUUACCAAGGUUAGAAAUCCUACUGCACGCCUAUCGAAAGAUAGGAAGCCUUCGAGGGUGUAGGACAGGUGAUGCAUGGCUGUCGUCAGUUCGUGGUUUGAAUCGUUCCCUUCAGUGGGGUAACGAACGCAACCCUCGUUGCCUGUUAUAUUUGUCAGGCGAGACUGCCCCCUCACGGGG